GACGAACCGUGCAAACGUUAUUCGGAAUCACUGGGCAUAAAGGGCGCGUAGGCGGCUCCAAAAGUCAGGGGUGAAAUCCGGCAGCUUAACUGUCGCAGUGCCUUUGAUACUGUGGAGCUAGAGGGAGGUAGGGGUCUGUGGAACUUCCGGUGGAGCGGUGAAAUGCGUUGAUAUCGGAAGGAACGCCGGUGGCGAAAGCGACGGACUGGAUCUCUUCUGACGCUGAGGCGCGAAAGCCAGGGGAGCAAACGGGAUUAGAUACCCCGGUAGUCCUGGCCCUAAACGAUGGGUACUAGAUUGCGGACUUACAUGGGUUCGCAGUCGAAGCUAAUGUUUUAAGUACCCCGCCUGGGGAGUAUGGUCGCAAGGCUGAA
rnacentral:rRNA from 1 species